rnacentral:rRNA from 1 species
AGAAUCAACGCUGGCGGCGUGCCUAACACAUGCAAGUCGCACGAGAAAGGGACUUCGGUCCUGAGUACAGUGGCGCACGGGUGAGUAACACGUGAAUAAUCUACCUCCGAGUGGGGAAUAAACUGAGAGAAAUCUUAGCUAAUACCGCAUAACACUUACGAGUCAAAGCAGCAAUGCGCUUGGAGAGGAGUUCGCGGCAGAUUAGUUAGUUGGCGGGUAAUGGCCCACCAAGACGAUGAUCUGUA